rnacentral:rRNA from 1 species
UGGGGAAUAUUGGGCAAUGGGGGAAACCCUGACCCAGCAACGCCGCGUGAGGGAAGAAGGUUUUCGGAUUGUAAACCUCUGUAAUCGGGGACGAACAAAUGACGGUACCCGAUAAGAAAGCCCCGGCUAACUACGUGCCAGCAGCCGCGGUAAUACGUAGGGGGCAAGCGUUGUCCGGAAUUACUGGGCGUAAAGGGAGCGUAGGCGGUUUUUUAAGUCAGAUGUGAAAUACCCGGGCUCAACCCGGGGGGUGCAUUUGAAACUGGAGAACUUGAGUGUAGGAGAGGAAAGCGGAAUUCCUAGUGUAGCGGUGAAAUGCGUAGAUAUUAGGAGGAACACCAGUGGCGAAGGCGGCUUUCUGGACUAUAACUGACGCUGAGGCUCGAAAGCGUGGGGAGCAAACA